rnacentral:rRNA from 1 species
AACGAACGCUGGCGGCAUGCCUAACACAUGCAAGUCGAACGAGACCUUCGGGUCUAGUGGCGCACGGGUGCGUAACGCGUGGGAAUCUGCCCUUGGGUCCGGAAUAACUCAGAGAAAUUUGAGCUAAUACCGGAUGAUGACGUAAGUCCAAAGAUUUAUCGCCCAGGGAUGAGCCCGCGUAGGAUUAGCUAGUUGGUGAGGUAAAGGCUCACCAAGGCGACGAUCCUUAGCGGUCUGAGAGGAUGAUCAGCCACACUGGGACUGAGACACGGCCCAGACUCCUACGGGAGGCAGCAGUGGGGAAUAUUGGACAAUGGGCGAAAGCCUGAUCCAGCAAUGCCGCGUGAGUGAUGAAGGCCUUAGGGUUGUAAAGCUCUUUUACCCGGGAUGA